UGAGCAAUCUGCCCUUCUCUUCGGAAUAAGCGUUGGAAACGACGUCUAAUGCCGAAUACGACCUCCUUUCGCAUGAUCGGAGGUGGAAAGCUCCGGCGGAGAAGGAUGAGCUCGCGGCCUAUCAGCUAGUUGGUGUGGGUAAUGGCCCACCAAGGCGACGACGGGUAGCUGGUCUGAGAGGAUGGCCAGCCACAUUGGGACUGAGACACGGCCCAGACCUCUACGGGAGG
rnacentral:rRNA from 1 species